AUCAACUUUCGAUUGGUAGGAUAGAGGCCUACCAUGGUGGUAACGGGUAACGGGGUGUUAGGGCACGACACCGGAGAGGGAGCCUGAGAAACGGCUACCACAUCCAAGGAUGGCAGCAGGCGCGCAAAUUACCCAAUCCCGACACGGGGAGGUAGUGACAAUAAAUAACAAUACGGGGUUCUUUCGGAUCUCGUAAUUGGAAUGAGUACAAUUUAAAUCUCUUAACGAGGAACAAUUGGAGGGCAAGUCUGGUGCCAGCAGCCGCGGUAAUUCCAGCUCCAAUAGCGUAUAUUAAAGUUGUUGCAGUUAAAAAGCUCGUAGUUGAAUUUCGGGGUUAGUAGGCUGGUCAUGCCACCGGUAUGUACUGGUCUUACUGAUUCCUCCUUCCUGAUGAACUGUAAUGCCAUUAAUUUGGUGUUGCAGGGAAUCUGGACUGUUACUUUGAAAAAAUUAGAGUGUUUAAAGCAGGCUAACGCUUGAAUACAUUAGCAUGGAAUAAUGAAAUAGGACGUUCGAUCCUAUUUUGUUGGUUUCUAGGAUUGACGUAAUGAUUAAUAGGGAUAGUUGGGGGCAUUAGUAUUCAAUUGUCAGAGGUGAAAUUCUUGGAUUUAUUGAAGACUAACUACUGCGAAAGCAUUUGCCAAGGAUGUUUUCAUUAAUCAAGAACGAAAGUUAGGGGAUCGAAGACGAUCAGAUACCGUCGUAGUCUUAACCAUAAACUAUGCCGACUAGGGAUCGGAUGAUGUUAAUUUUUUAAUGACUCAUUUGGCGUCUUACGGGAAACCAAAGUGUUUGGGUUC
rnacentral:rRNA from 1 species